rnacentral:rRNA from 1 species
UACUCGAGUGGCGAACGGGUGAGUAACACGUGGGUGAUCUGCCCUGCACUUCGGAUAAGCUUGGGAAACUGGGUCUAAUACCGGAUAGGAACCAUCUUUAGUGUGGUGGUUGGAAAGUUUUUUCGGUGUAGGAUGAGCUCGCGGCCUAUCAGCUUGUUGGUGGGGUAAUGGCCUACCAAGGCUUUGACGGGUAGCCGGCCUGAGAGGGUGACCGGCCACAUUGGGACUGAGAUACGGCCCAG